rnacentral:rRNA from 1 species
UACGCAGGGGGCUAGCGUUGUUCGGAAUUACUGGGCGUAAAGCGCGCGUAGGCGGUUUUGCAAGCCAGAGGUGAAAUGCCUGAGCUCAACUCAGGAAUGGCCUUUGGGACUGCGAGGCUUUGAGGACUGGAGAGGUGAGUGGAAUUCCCAGUGUAGAGGUGAAAUUCGUAGAUAUUGGGAAGAACACCGGUGGCGAAGGCGGCUCACUGGCCAGUUUCUGACGCUGUAGCGCGAAAGCGUGGGGAUCAAACAGG